rnacentral:rRNA from 1 species
UACGAAGGGUGCAAGCGUUACUCGGAAUACUGGGCGUAAAGCGUGCGCAGGCGGUUUUGUAAGUCUGACGUGAAAUCCCCGGGCUCAACCUGGGAAUUGCGUUGGAGACUGCAAGGCUAGAAUCUGGCAGAGGGGGGUAGAAUUCCACGUGUGAGCAGUGAAAUGCGUAGAGAUCCGGAGGAACACCAAAGGCGAAGGCAGUGUCCUGGGGAGUACCUGACGCUCAGGUGCGAAAGCCAGGGGAGCGGAACGG